AUGGUCAAGCUGUCCAUGCGGGUGUGCGUGUGCCGGCCAGGGGGAGAGGAAGAGUGGGUGGACUCCAGUGAGCUAGUGCCUGGAGACUGCCUGCUGCUGCCCCAGGAGGGCGGGCUGAUGCCCUGCGAUGCCGCCCUGGUGGCCGGCGAGUGCAUGGUGAAUGAGAGCUCUCUGACAGGAGAGAGCAUUCCAGUGCUGAAGACGGCACUGCCGGAGGGGCUGGGGCCCUACUGUGCAGAGACACACCGGCGGCACACGCUCUUCUGCGGGACCCUCAUCUUACAGGCCCGGGCCUGUGUGGGACCGCACGUCCUGGCAGUGGUGACCCGCACAGCUCUCCUCGGCACCAUCUACAGCAUCUUCAUCCUCUACCGAAACCGGGUGCCUCUGAACGAGAUUGUGAUCCGGGCUCUGGACCUGGUGACUGUGGUGGUGCCACCUGCCCUGCCUGCCGCCAUGACUGUGUGCACGCUCUACGCCCAGAGCCGACUGCGGAGACAGGGCAUUUUCUGCAUCCACCCACUGCGUAUCAACCUGGGGGGCAAGCUGCAGCUGGUGUGUUUCGACAAGGUGGGGCCGCAGGUGGGGUUGGCGCAGGGGAGCGGGACAGCCACAGGCGCCCCAGCCAGGCCUCCACACCCACGUUAUUCUCUCAGCAGCACCCACAGGAUGACAGGUCCUGUCUAG
rnacentral:sRNA from 1 species